GACGAACGCUGGCGGCGUGCUUAACACAUGCAAGUCGAACGGAAAGGCCCAGCUUGCUGGGUGCUCGAGUGGCGAACGGGUGAGUAACACGUGGGUGAUCUGCCUCUAACUUCGGGAUAAGCUUGGGAAACUGGGUCUAAUACCGGAUAGGACAAUCGUUUAGUGUCGGUUGUGGAAAGUUUUUUCGGUUAGGGAUGAGCCCGCGGCCUAUCAGCUUGUUGGUGGGGUAAUGGCCUACCAAGGCGUCGACGGGUAGCCGGCCUGAGAGGGUGGCCGGCCACAUUGGGACUGAGAUACGGCCCAGACUCCUACGGGAGGCAGCAGUGGGGAAUAUUGCACAAUGGGCGCAAGCCUGAUGCAGCGACGCCGCGUGGGGGAUGACGGCCUUCGGGUUGUAAACCUCUUUCGACAGGGACGAAGCUUUGGUGACGGUACCUGUAUAAGAAGCCCCGGCUAACUACGUG
rnacentral:rRNA from 1 species